AUUCAACUGACGAGUCCCGAAUAGGACGAAACGCGCGUCCUGGAU
rfam:Schistosoma mansoni strain Puerto Rico chromosome 2, complete genome